rnacentral:rRNA from 1 species
UACGUAGGGACCGAGCGUUGUCCGGAAUCAUUGGGCGUAAAGAGCGUGGUAGGCGGCCACUUAAGUCCUGCGUGAAAUCCUGCGGCUCAACCGCAGGCGGUCGUGGGAAACUGGGUGGCUAGAGUGCGGGAGAGGAGAGUGGAAUUCCUGGUGUAGCGGUGAAAUGCGCAGAGUAUCAGGAAGAACACCCGUGGCGAAGGCGGCGCUCUGGGACGUGACUGACGCUGAGACGCGAAAGCGUGGGGAGCGAACAGG